rnacentral:rRNA from 1 species
GACGUAGGAUGCAAGCGUUGUCCGGAAUUAUUGGGCGUAAAGAGUUCGUAGGCGGCAUAAUAAGUCUGGUGUUAAAUCUCGGAGCUCAACUCCGAACAGGCACUGGAUACUAUUAAGCUAGAGUACAGAAGAGGCAAGGGGAAUUCCUAGUGUAGCGGUGAAAUGCGUAGAUAUUAGGAGGAACACCAGUGGCGUAAGCGCCUUGCUGGGCUGUUACUGACGCUGAGGAACGAAAGCCAGGGGAGCAAAUGGG